rnacentral:rRNA from 1 species
GCUAUACAUGCAGUCGGACGGGAUCCGGGAGUAGCUUGCUACUUCCGGUGAGAGUGGCGCACGGGUGCGUAACGCGUGAGCAACCUGCCCAUAUCAGGGGGAUAGCCCGGAGAAAUCCGGAUUAACACCGCAUGACACGCCGGGACGGCAUCGUUCCGGCGUCAAAUAUUCAUAGGAUAUGGAUGGGCUCGCGUGACAUUAGCUAGUUGGUGGGGUAACGGCCCACCAAGGCGACGAUGUCUAGGGGCUCUGAGAGGAGAAUCCCCCACACUGGUACUGAGACACGGACCAGACUCCUACGGGAGGCAGCAGUAAGGAAUAUUGGUCAAUGGGGGCAACCCUGAACCAGCCAUGCCGCGUGCAGGACGACUGCCCUAUGGGUUGUAAACUGCUUUUGCCGGGGAAUAAACCCCACUACGUGUAGUGGGCUGAACGUACCCGGAGAAUAAGGAUCGGCUAACUCCGUGCCAGCAGCCGCGGUAAUACGGAGGAUCCGAGCGUUAUCCGGAUUUAUUGGGUUUAAAGGGUGCGUAGGCGGCACUUUAAGUCAGGGGUGAAAGACGGCAGCUCAACUGUCGCAGUGCCCUUGAUACUGAAGUGCUUGAAUGCGGUUGAAGACGGCGGAAUGAGACAAGUAGCGGUGAAAUGCAUAGAUAUGUCU